rnacentral:lncRNA from 1 species
CCCAAGGCUAUUCUUGCAGGGAAGAGUAGAAAAGAACUGCAUCUCUUUGCCUUAAGGUAUGGGGUCAUGCAUGAACUCCAGCCUUUCCCCCAUCAGUCUGUUUAUAGCUCUGCUUUCUUGCUUAAUAGGUACUGGCUGGAGCCGUGACAUCCUGCUAAAUCUACAAAUAGCCCUUGAACCCUGAGGAUAAUGAUAGGUUUCUUAGAAAAGAGCAGAGAGGAGAAGAGAAGCAGACAGUCUUAGGCCGGUCAUAGAGUUUCUGGCUUUGAGUGUGCGGCGACUUUCUUGGAGUGGACGGGUGGGAGGGAGGGAGGAAACAGACAGCUCUGGUUGGUGAAAACCAAGGUAUUCAGUCAGAACAGGCUUAAUGAGGGGACCGGUCUGGAGAAGAAAGAAGGAGCUCUAUAAUUUGUGGUGACCACUGUUACAUCAUUCACCUGCAAUGAUGGGGGACAGAUUUAUUUAUAGUUCAACUGGGUGGAAAAUAGCAUCUUUCUUCAUUCAGACUAAGAAUCCUUGCUGGGAUUAGCCUUAUUUUUUUAUCUGACCUUU